rnacentral:rRNA from 1 species
UGAGCAACCUACCGAAAUGUGGGGGAUAGCCGGCCUAACGGCCGAGUAAUACCGCGUACGACCACUUUGGGACAUCCCUGGGUGGUGAAAGCAGCAAUGCGCCGAUGGGGUGCCUCGCGGCCUAUCAGCUAGUUGGUGAGGUAACGGCUCACCAAGGCGACGACGGGUAGCUGGU